UCAUUGGUUUUGAUACAUGAUCAUCAAAUGGGCAUGUGUCUCAUUUGUACUCUUUUUCCCUUGUGAAGUUUUGUCCCAAUGGGUUUUCUUGACAAGGUUUUUAAUGAGGCAAAUGAUUCAAAUUCAAA
rnacentral:sRNA from 1 species